AUAAAAAUAGCAAAAAGUGCGGUAGGUUUAAGCCCUAGAUAUGAAGAUGAAAGCUCUUCUUUUUAUA
rnacentral:tRNA from 1 species